AGCUUGCUGGGCGGAUUAGUGGCGAACGGGUGAGUAAUACGUGAGUAACCUGCCCUUGACUCUGGGAUAAGCCUGGGAAACUGGGUCUAAUACUGGAUACUACCUCUUACCGCAUGGUGGGUGGUGGAAAGGGUUUUACUGGUUUUGGAUGGGCUCACGGCCUAUCAGCUUGUUGGUGGGGUAAUGGCUCACCAAGGCGACGACGGGUAGCCGGCCUGAGAGGGUGACCGGCCACACUGGGACUGAGACACGGCCCAGACUCCUACGGGAGGCAGCAGUGGGGAAUAUUGCACAAUGGGCGGAAGCCUGAUGCAGCGACGCCGCGUGAGGGAUGACGGCCUUCGGGUUGUAAACCUCUUUCAGUAGGGAAGAAGCGAGAGUGACGGUACCUGCAGAAGAAGCGCCGGCUAACUACGUGCCAGCAGCCGCGGUAAUACGUAGGGCGCAAGCGUUGUCCGGAAUUAUUGGGCGUAAAGAGCUCGUAGGCGGUUUGUCGCGUCUGCUGUGAAAGCCCGGGGCUCAACCCCGGGUCUGCAGUGGGUACGGGCAGACUAGAGUGCAGUAGGGGAGACUGGAAUUCCUGGUGUAGCGGUGAAAUGCGCAGAUAUCAGGAGGAACACCGAUGGCGAAGGCAGGUCUCUGGGCUGUUACUGACGCUGAGGAGCGAAAGCAUGGGGAGCGAACAGGAUUAGAUACCCUGGUAGUCCAUGCCGUAAACGUUGGGCACUAGGUGUGGGGGACAUUCCACGUUUUCCGCGCCGUAGCUAACGCAUUAAGUGCCCCGCCUGGGGAGUACGGCCGCAAGGCUAAAACUCAAAGGAAUUGACGGGGGCCCGCACAAGCGGCGGAGCAUGCGGAUUAAUUCGAUGCAACGCGAAGAACCUUACCAAGGCUUGACAUUCACCGGACCGCCCCAGAGAUGGGGUUUCCCUUCGGGGCUGGUGGACAGGUGGUGCAUGGUUGUCGUCAGCUCGUGUCGUGAGAUGUUGGGUUAAGUCCCGCAACGAGCGCAACCCUCGUUCUAUGUUGCCAGCACGUGAUGGUGGGGACUCAUAGGAGACUGCCGGGGUCAACUCGGAGGAAGGUGGGGAUGACGUCAAAUCAUCAUGCCCCUUAUGUCUUGGGCUUCACGCAUGCUACAAUGGCCGGUACAAAGGGUUGCGAUACUGUGAGGUGGAGCUAAUCCCAAAAAGCCGGUCUCAGUUCGGAUUGAGGUCUGCAACUCGACCUCAUGAAGUCGGAGUCGCUAGUAAUCGCAGAUCAGCAACGCUGCGGUGAAUACGUUCCCGGGCCUUGUACACACCGCCCGUCAAGUCACGAAAGUUGGUAACACCCGAAGCCGGUGGCCUAACCCCUUGUGG
rnacentral:rRNA from 1 species